UCUCCGUUGGUGAACCAGCGGAGGGAUCAUUACCGAGUUUACAACUCCCAAACCCCUAUGUGAACGUUACCAAACUGUUGCCUCGGCGGGAAAUUCAUGCCCCGGGCGCGUCGCAGCCCCGGACCAAGGCGCCUGCCGGAGGACCAACCAAAACUCUUUUGUAUGUCCCUCGCGGACUUUUAUAAUUCUGAACCAUCUCGGCGCCCCUAGCGGGCGUUUCGAAAAUGAAUCAAAACUUUCAACAACGGAUCUCUUGGUUCUG
rnacentral:misc_RNA from 1 species